rnacentral:lncRNA from 1 species
UUGCAGAUUACUUAUCAAGACAAAGCUACACAGAUUGAAAAAGAAAAUACUAUAGAAGAAAUACUCAAAGCUAUGAACCUACUUUGCACAAAAGUAGAAAAUAUUGACAAAGAGCUACAACAAAUACGAAGUCAGCAGCAUGACUAUAAAAAUGCGGAGCUAAGUCAAUCGGAAGACUUUAAAAAUCCAGAUCUAAAAGGUGACGUUGGGAAACACCUUAAAACCCAUAAUGUUUGUUUAAAUACAGCUGCAGGUAUGAGCAAACAAGUUAGUGAAAAACAACAUAAGAAUACAAACUUAAACCAGCUAUUUGAAAAACCAUUUACUCAGAGAACACCAAAAAACAUAUUGGCUAUGAAACCCCAAACCUCAACCUAUGCAGAUAGCCUACAAAACGAGAAAAAAUUAUAUAACCAUUGUUACGAGAACCUAUAUUGAAAAUAUAUACAAAAUCCAAACCUAUUUAAAUCGUAAUCCUAGAUCCACUACAACCAAAGAACUAAAUCAAGACUACCUAACCCAAAACUUACAAGGUUAUAACAAGUUAAUUGCACAACCAAAAACUAACGCCAAUUUAGUAAGAACAUGUUACAAUUAUGGACUAUUAAAUACCAUAUAUACAUACGAUGGAGAAGAGAUAAGUGGAAUACCAGAAUUACACAAAGCAUUCGUCACAUAUAAAAGAGCUACCAAAGGAAAUUUAUUUUUAUAUAAAGUUUUAUACAGCACCAACGGAGAUAUUAUACGAGGAGAUAAAACCUCCAAUUCAAGUUAUUAAGAUAGGAUUAACCAAAGAUAUGAUUAUACCUGAUGAUAUCGGACAACAAGAAGAAAUACAAAAAAUAGAGAUAACCAAGUUUUUAUGCCAAUAAAAGAAUAAUUGGUAUAUCAACUAUUAUACAAGAAUUAACAAACAAUUAUUUGAACGGAAUGCUAUAUGGAGUUACUACUCUAGAGACCAGUUAAUGAUAUAUUCAAAUUCAAGAAAACUAAGGAAAGCAGAUAUGGAUGAAGUCCAGCAAUGAAUUUUAUCAUUAUUAAAACUAGAAGAAAGACCUACGACAAGAGCACUCAAAGCAGGAUUUAUUUCGCCAGAACUAUUAACCAGAUAUUGCAUGCUAAUUGGACACAAAUACCCUGAUCAUCUAUGUUCAAAAUGUAAUGGAGAAGACAAUGUGAUUCCCGAUGUCCAGCUAGAAUAAUGUCAAGACAAAAAAGAUAGGGACAAAGAAGAUAAAGACAACUAAGAGAUAAGGCAAAGAAGAUAUAUUUGGCCAAAAAAGCCAAAAGAAAAUAGUGAAUAGUACUAUUAUUGUAAAUUAUUAGUCUUAUUGUAAGAAGGUGUAGUGUAAAUUAGUCAACAAUGUAGGAUGCAUAUUAAAAGUGGUAGGUGUGGUGUAGGGGACAAGUGUAAAGUGGGUAGGUAUGGUAGUGUAAAAAAGUCAUAAAGUAAAUAGUACUAUGUAAGAAAGCCAUGAAGUAGUGCAUUAUUGUGCAUUUUUGUACAUUAAUAUAGAGAUAUGAUAGAAUUUGUAAGUGCAGUACAUAGGAUUUCCUUUCUAUAUAAAGGAAGGAAGAUGUAACAUAAAAGAAAGACUUUGAAUAAACGAAGCACUUUCAUAAAAAAACCACUCUCUCAAAUAUUUAAAUACUUAAUAGAUAAUGGAGCAACCCUCAGAUAUCAUGGAUAAGCAAGAGGCAAAGUUAUAUUGUUCGACAAAUAUGCAGAACUAAUUUCAUAUAUUCCUGAAUAUCAUAAAUAUGAUUGAAUAAAUUUAUGUUAGUUAUUAUGUAUUAGAAUUAUUUGAAUCAUGAUUAAACCGGUAGGCAAGGAAAGCCGUUUAAGGGAGUAAACAAAGUUGAGGCGCUGAUAAGAAGGAAGUAUCCGCUAAAGUACGAUGCUAGUAGUGACAGGAAAACAUGAUAAAGAUAAUCUAGUUCAUAAUGAUCUAAUAUGAAUUUAAUCAAUUAUGAAUAUGAUAGGAAGGAAUAAUUUGAAAUAAAAAACCCGCAUAGUAAAGAACAUGACUACAUAUAUGCAUGACGAAAUGAUAAAAAGCUAUGAAACUUUAAUCAUAUAUAUACUUAACGGUAUAGAGAUAACUGAAUUAAGAAGGACCAUAUGGGAAAAAAUAUUUGAUGACUACGAAUUAGAAGAUAUAUUAAANNNNNNNNNNNNNUAUACUAAACGGUAUAGAGAUAAUUGAAUUAAGAAGAAUCAUAUGGGAAAAAAUAUUUAAUGAUAACGAAUCAGAAGAUAUAUUAAACCAAGAAUGGUAUGAAAUAGACCUACAUGAUUUAGACUUCGAAAGAAUAGAAUGGUAUGAUUUAGAAAUAAAUUCAGAUUAAAAUGAACUACGAAUAUUUAUGAUAUUGGAUAGAAUUUAUGUAAGAUAUAAAACUAUUAGAACAAUUAAUGGAGAAAAAAUUAUUUAUGUAUCUAAGAACCCAAGAUAUGUUAUAUCUAGAAUAUAUCAUAAAUAAUAUUAAAGAGAUAUCAAGAUUAAGACACUUAGCAAAAGAAUAUUAUAAUAAAAUAUAUAGCCAAACAUAAAAUGAAUUCCUCACCUACCAAAAAUGGUACACCUACCAAAAAUACCAUGAAUUCCUCACCUACCACACUACCUACCACACUACAAAAAAUGUCAUGAACUCCGUGAAUUCCAGAGCCCCGAAAAAUGGUAUCAUAGCUAUGGAUGAAAAUAAAUAUAAGAAGAAACAUACUAGUAGAAAGUUAAGAAAAAUAAGAAAAAAAUUAAACAAAUUAUAUCCGAAAUACAAACAACUCAAUAUCACAAAACUGAUAACGACAAAUUAGAUCAAUUAAUAGAUAAUAUAUCUAAAAUAGAAUAUAAAUAUAUUCAAUAUUUAAAGAUACAAUGAAUGACGAGAAUAACGAAUAUAGACCAAAACUUACUGAAAUAAUUAUAGCGAAGAGACAAGAAUUAGAACAUACANNNNNNNNNNNNNNNNNNNNNNNNNNNNNNNNNNNNNNNNNNNNNNNNNNNNNNNNNNNNNNNNNNNNNNNNNNNNNNNNNNNNNNNNNNNNNNNNNNNNNNNNNNNNNNNNNNNNNNNNNNNNNNNNNNNNNNNNNNNNNNNNNNNNNNNNNNNNNNNNNNNNNNNNNNNNNNNNNNNNNNNNNNNNNNNNNNNNNNNNNNNNNNNNNNNNNNNNNNNNNNNNNNNNNNNNNNNNNNNNNNNNNNNNNNNNNNNNNNNNNNNNNNNNNNNNNNNNNNNNNNNNNNNNNNNNNNNNNNNNNNNNNNNNNNNNNNNNNNNNNNNNNNNNNNNNNNNNNNNNNNNNNNNNNNNNNNNNNNNNNNNNNNNNNNNNNNNNNNNNNNNNNNNNNNNNNNNNNNNNNNNNNNNNNNNNNNNNNNNNNNNNNNNNNNNNNNNNNNNNNNNNNNNNNNNNNNNNNNNNNNNNNNNNNNNNNNNNNNNNNNNNNNNNNNNNNNNNNNNNNNNNNNNNNNNNNNNNNNNNNNNNNNNNNNNNNNNNNNNNNNNNNNNNNNNNNNNNNNNNNNNNNNNNNNNNNNNNNNNNNNNNNNNNNNNNNNNNNNNNNNNNNNNNNNNNNNNNNNNNNNNNNNNNNNNNNNNNNNNNNNNNNNNNNNNNNNNNNNNNNNNNNNNNNNNNNNNNNNNNNNNNNNNNNNNNNNNNNNNNNNNNNNNNNNNNNNNNNNNNNNNNNNNNNNNNNNNNNNNNNNNNNNNNNNNNNNNNNNNNNNNNNNNNNNNNNNNNNNNNNNNNNNNNNNNNNNNNNNNNNNNNNNNNNNNNNNNNNNNNNNNNNNNNNNNNNNNNNNNNNNNNNNNNNNNNNNNNNNNNNNNNNNNNNNNNNNNNNNNNNNNNNNNNNNNNNNNNNNNNNNNNNNNNNNNNNNNNNNNNNNNNNNNNNNNNNNNNNNNNNNNNNNNNNNNNNNNNNNNNNNNNNNNNNNNNNNNNNNNNNNNNNNNNNNNNNNNNNNNNNNNNNNNNNNNNNNNNNNNNNNNNNNNNNNNNNNNNNNNNNNNNNNNNNNNNNNNNNNNNNNNNNNNNNNNNNNNNNNNNNNNNNNNNNNNNNNNNNNNNNNNNNNNNNNNNNNNNNNNNNNNNNNNNNNNNNNNNNNNNNNNNNNNNNNNNNNNNNNNNNNNNNNNNNNNNNNNNNNNNNNNNNNNNNNNNNNNNNNNNAUACUUUAGGAGCUAGAAUGAAAUUCUUACAACGAUGGUUUAUAGAAAUAUGUGAAAAACAUAAAGAAGAGAUAAAAAUGGAAAAAAUAUUAGUAAAAAACUUGGCAUGUGGCAAAAAUAAAACAGCACCCCAAUUCAGUUGUACAGACAGAUACUAUAGAAAGAAAUAUAAUACAAAUUACAGAUCAAAAUAAAAAUAUAAAAAACUGAGAAGAAGAUACUAUGUAAAAAACUAACAAAACUAAAAGACCAUAUAGACCAAAAGAGAAAACUAACGGAAUGUACUUGUUAUAAUUGUGGAAAAUUAGGACACAUAGCUAAAGAUUGUAAAUUACCUAAAAAUCCAAAGAAGAAACAAAUAUCAGAAAUAAUAAUAAACAAUGAAAAAUAUACGCCGAUAGAGUACAUAGAUUAUGAAUUAGAAAGUGAAGAUAGCAUAUAUGAAAUAUCAGAAAAUGAAAUGGAUAACGACAUACAAAUGGAAUCAGAUAAUGAAUUCUACAAUACAACAAAUGACUGAAACAAAUAUACAAAUAAUAACUAAAGAAGAACAUCAAGACGAAGAAUCUUUAGAACAAAAAAUAAUAUUUGAUAAUAGUAUAUUUGAAAAAAUAAAAGGAAAAGAAUUAGACCUAAGCGUAGAAAAAAUAUACGAAAUACCAACAAUAAGAAACUGGUUUAAACGACAAAAAGAAGAAUAUUAUGUAGUAAGUCAAAGAGAACAUAUCCCAAAAGAAGAAAGUUGAAGCUAGGAUUUGAAGGAGCAAGUGUUUCUACUAAAUUUCUUUGCAGAUUCAUAGCUAAAGUAUGGUAGCCCUUCAUCCAUGGAUAGUCUUCAUCCAUGGAGCCGUUCCAAAACCACCAAUUUAAAAGCUAGAAGUCCCAAAAGUUAGGGUGUGACUUCAAUAUCAUGGAUAGUUUUUAAUGAUAGAAUUACGUUUUAUUAUGGAUAAAUUGAUUAUUUUAUAUGGUUUUAUGUUGAAUUCCCCAAGAAUCCAUGAAUUCCCGUAUUUUCUGAAAUUGGAUCUCAAAGUGUGGGUAUUGAUUGAUGCAAGUAGAAUAUUAUAGAAUUGUAAAUGUAGUAAAUUGAUUAAUUGAAUCAUGUUAUUAUUCAUGUCUAAUGUAGUAAUUCUAGAUGUUUUGGUUGGAUGUGAUCUAUGGUCCUUAAAGCUCAAAGUAUGAGAAUUAUGCAUGAUUAUGAGGUUCAUGUAUAUGCUUUUAGAACACUAACAGAGUGAAGUGAAUAUGAUUAUGAUCUAGUUGUUGUGUUGUUGGAUGAUUAUCCUUAUGUACACACUUAUGUAUGCAUAUGGUAUGAUGUGGAAGGUGUUCGCACAAUAUGAUGAUUUUAGGGUUUAAAGGCUAUUCUCACCUAUUGAAUCUAUGAGCUAUAGUACGAAUUAUGUUGGAUUGAGUGUCAAGACAUUCUUCCAUUAAUAUGUACUUAAUUCAAGAUUUUAUAAGUAAUCUAUGGGAUUUAAUGCUUAGAAUCGAGUGGAUAUGACUAUGAGAUGGAAGCUUAUACAAUAGUUGAGUCCGGCUUCCCAAUGAAAGCUUUUAGACUAGUUGAAUCUUUCUUUCAAAAUGGGUUAUUUCUACCUUAGUUGAGUCCGGGUUCCCAAAGUGUGUAUCUUAUGAGAUGGAAACCUUAUACCUAAGUAGAGUUUGGGUUUCUAGUAAUAAUCUCCUUAUCCCAUAACUAUGUGCCCACAUAGGUCUUUAGCUAGUGGAUCCACCUAAGCUAAGAGUAUGGUUCUACCUUAGGAAAGUAGGACAACCCCUUUUCAAUGUGGGGUAGACAUUGGAUUCCAUGGUAAGCUUAUAUGGUCUAUGUCGGUUAAGGAUAAUCUCCCUUUAUCAUUGUAUGAACAAGAAUAUGAAAUAUGAACUAUAGUUACUCAAGAAGCUUUACUUAGUAUGUAUGAGAUUAUGUGAUCUUAUUCAUGCAUUGCACAAGUUGCUUUGAGGGUAUUUAUGGUAUGUUUCUAUUAUGAUAUGAUGAUCUAUGAGUUGAUUAUGUUUAUGACUUGAUUUUCCAUUAUCUUCAAAAUGAUGCUUUAAACAAGUAAAUAACAUGCAUUCAACUAAAAUGUUCCUGUUAGCAUGUUUUCAUGAUUUUGUGCAUUACUGUCAUACUUAGUGCAUUUUUGUACUAACCUAUAUUUUUCUACAUUUUUCCCAAGUGUAGGGUCCAGUUCUCAAGGUGGUCCCCAUGGUGGUUCUUGGGUUUGCUCAUUUCUCCUUGCUCGUGCUGAGUCCUCGGGAUUCGAGGAUGGGAUUCUAGCAGUGUUGUUUCAUUCUUGUACUUUAACUUUCGGAUUAUGUUGUUAUGGUAUUCGUAACACCCCGUAAAAUAGUUAGUUGAACUAGUGUGUUGUAGGGUCUUGUAGUGGCGUUUUGGAGUGUCGUAUGAGGGUUAAAAUCAAGAUAUAUGAUUUCUACACUUAGAAUGACAUGUUUAGGGGUUAAACGUCCGGGUACGACUCCCCAAGGACCACCUAAGGGGUCCUUGAGAAGGACCCCAAAACAGUCCCCCAAAACAGUCAAAAAGUGUGACCUACGGUGGCAAACCAUGCCUAGUAGAUCAUUCUAUGCUCGUAGGUCAUGGGCAUGGAUCAGGCCUGCACAGGCAUGAAAAAUAUGAGUCUCUGACCCAAACCACGAGACCAAACCACAGAAAGUAGAUCAAUCUACGGUCCGUAGAUGGUGAAGUCGUGAAUGCUUCCAAUUUUCAGCAUUUUAGUUUUAAGUUGGGUGUUUGGGAUUUGAUUAGUUAGUUAAUUAAGUGCUUAGGGCGUCAGUUAGAUAGUUAAAUAACCACCUAUAAUUAUUUAAUAGACCCCUAAACUAAUAGCUUUAAGUCAUUCAUCUAAAGACCCCCAAAUUACUCUCAAGAAAUCCUCUCUCUAGAAGAAGAAUAACAAAGGAAGUUGGGGCAGAAGCUUAGGGCAAUUUUCACCACUGAUUCAAGCUUUGUUUGGGGAUUUGAUUGAAGGUAUGUAAAGAUUAUUCAUCAAUGGGCUCUUCCAGCCAUGGAACCCCCUUAGAAAUCCCCCAAUGCAAUUGUGGAUCAAAAACCCUAUUCUAGCUAGGGUUGUUCUUACAUUGUGGGUAGGGCUUGGAUGUGAUUCCAAUCUAGUGGAUAGCAUCAAAUUAUGAUUGAAUUAUGUUUGAUUAAAAAUAAUGUGAUGAUUUCAUGUGAUUUCUAUGAUGAACCGUAAUCUAUGUUGAUGAAUGUGAUCUUUGUGGGUUUUGCCAUUAGAGGCAAAAUUGGAGGUUCUAAAGUGAUCUUCCUAUUUCAAUGUCUUGAAUAUUAAUUGAUCAUAGUUAGGAUCAUCUAAUAAUAAAUUGAACUAGACUUGAUUUAAUAGGAAGGAUCUUGACUUAUAAAGUUAGAAUUGAACCUUUAUGAUCAAUUAAGACUAGAAUCACCUAGUAAUGAAGGAUGUGAUCAAAUUACCUUGAAAUCUAGGUAUAGAGAGGAGAUUAAAAAGGAACCUAGAGAGUAUGGUUGUGAUCCUAAUAGCUAGGUCUUUAGGGUGAAGCUAAUGUGAUUACCUAAAUUUGCUAAGGCUUUGAGAGUAAAGUCUAAAAGAGAAUAAGAGUCUAGUAGGUUAGAUUGUGGUGAAAGUCCUAUGCUCACCUAACCUACCUUAUGAAUGUUUGAUAUAUGAAACUAAUAGAAUCACUUGAACAUGGAUUGAUGGUCAAGGAUAACCUUCCAUGAGAGAUGAGUGUUAAGCAAGGCUUAACAAGUAAACCUUGAGGUGUAUGCUUGUCCUCAAGUGGAUAUCAAAAAUAAGAUGGAGUGUCACACAAGAUAGGGUCCGGACUCCAAGAAGAAUAGAGUGCCACACAUAGUUGAUGUAAGAACUAUCCAAAUUAAAGAAGGAACUCUUCCAUAGUAGAGUGUGGGAUUUCCCAAAGUAAGGUCUCAUGGGAUGGGAGCCUUCUAAUAGUUGAGUUAAGGUUCUUAGUAGCAAUCUCCAUAUCGUAUGAACUAAGACAUGCCUGAGAAAUCUCAUAGUGUUCUAAAGCACAAUUGUAAUAAGACUUACUUAAUGAAGUACCUCAUAGUGUUCAAGAGUAUAAAUGGACUUAGACAUGCUUAAAUUAGUAUCUUAUAGGGUCCAUCCUAGUAAUGAACUUAGAUAUGCUUAAAGAAGUGUCUCCUAGGGUUCAAAUUUAUAAUAAACUAAGAUGUUCUUGAGAGAGAGUACCUCAUAGUGUUCUAAAGUAAAUAGAGGAACUAGGUUCCAAAUCAAGAAGUGUUAGCAUGAGGACCUAAAGGUAGUACUUAGCAUGUAUAGUAUUAUGGGGUGCUAUGCAUGCAUUGCACAUGUAUUACUUAGGGUCACUAAAGAGAAGUCUUGAGGUAGGAUUAGGCUAGAGCUGCCUUUCCUAGUUAUAGUUGACUAAAGGUGAGAGUUUCCCUUUGUUAUUAGAGUUGAGAUAAUAAUGAGGCCAAAGUAGGGUGAAUAUUACUCGGAGGAUUUCAAGGCUAUGCUUAGUGUGAAGGGUAGUAUGGGAUGCCUUUCAUGCAUUGCACAAGUGUGUCUUAAAGUUACUUAGAAGUAUGGUACCCUUAUGGAAUAGAGAGGCUUAGAGUUGACCAGGAAUAUAGUUUAAGGUUAAAAUGACAUGAAGAUCUAAGUCUUGAAUGUGAAGGUGGACUAUGCCCAAGAAUGACCAAAGAGAGGUACUUAGCUUGGAUGAUUGUAUGGGAUGCUAUACGGGCAUUGCACAAGUAUACUUGGACGUGGCUUGUGAAGUAGUUCUCUUGUAACAUGAAGGACUUAAGGUUGAUGUAUGUAACCAUGCAAGUCUAAGUAAAGACUAGGCCAUGAACAUGAUGUAUCUCCUAUGCUCAUUAAAUAAAUCCUAUAUGACUUAUGUUUAUAUGAUGCUUAUAUUGGAGAUCAUGCUAUGACUAUGAUGAUUAUAUUGUGAUUAUGUUAUUGUCUCUUAUGCUUAUGUCUUAUGUUGACUAACCAUUUGAGAUGCUCUUAUGAUGUUGUGUUAGCUUUCAUACUCAGUACGUUUUGUAGUAAUGCAUAUUGCCUACAAUCUGACCAAAUGUAGGGUUGGAGGCUUGAGUUGCUUUGGAGGCCAGAGUUUUAAGGAUUUAGAAGAAUUGAAGAAUCGGUGACUCCUCAUAGCUUCAAGGACGAACCCUUUAUUUCCUUAUGUCAUUUCUUUAUGUCUUUAGACUUUGUAUGGGCGCCUGCGUCUGAAAGACUUUUAUUCAUGAGUUUAAAUAGAUGGUUUGAGAAAAGGUUCUAGUAAAUACUUCCGCCUGAUUUUAUGAAAUAAGACAUAGAUUGUAAAAGUUUUCAAUUUUCCCGUAUAUUCUAUUAUCUUAUGUUAAGAAUUUGCUAAGGGAUUGUAUGCAAACCCUCGGGGUAAACUACGCCGUGUUACAACUAGGGGGUGCCCUCAGGUUGUGACAAACUUGGUAUCAGAGUAUAAGGUUUUGGAAUAAAUUUUCGGAUGUCUGAAACCACGUAUAAGUAGAGUUUUAUUCAUGGGUGUGAGUUGCGACACAUUUUAUGAAUAGGAGGCUAUUGGAUGAUUAGGAAAAGUCUCACUUCUUCAUUAUCUUAGUUGUGCCAUGAAAGUUUAGCUCUAGUAGGUCUUUCUUCUAAUGUUUUCCUAUGAUUUUUCAGGUUAUGGCAAAUACUAGGGCUAAUGAUAGGAGAGAAGGAGAAGACAAUGGGGACCAACAGAUUCCUCCCCAAUCUCCAAACAAGAUCCUCCUCAAGUUCCAAAUGACCCUCCAAUUGGGAAUGCCAAUCUUGGAGAGUUUAAGGCUUCUAUGCAACUAUUGACUCGAGCCUUGACGGCACAAGCCAAUAGGGAGGUGGUGGCUCCGACAAACCCUAUAGGAGGAAUUGGUGCUUUUAGGGUGAGAGAGUUUUUGAGAAUGAAUCCUCCGGAGUUAUAUGGCUCCAAAAUGAAAGAAGAUCCAAAUGGGUUCAUAGAAAAAGUUUAUAAGGCGCUAGCAAUCGUAGGGGUGUCUUCUAUUGAGAAAGCAGAACUAGCUGCCUAUCAAUUGAAUGACGUUUCCCAAAUUUGGUAUGAUGAAUGAAAAUAUAGUAGGUCGAUAGGAGCGGGCCCUAUAGAGUGGGAAGCUUUGAAAUUGACAUUUCUAGAUAGGUUCUUUCCCCGGGAAUUGAGGGAAGCUAAAAUGGGAGAAUUCAUUAACCUUAAGCAAGGUAGUAUGAGUGUUAAUGAGUACUCUUUGAAAUUCACCCUUUUGUCUAAUUAUGCUCCAAGCUUGGUAGAAAAUCCAAGGGACUUGAUGAAUAGGUUUAUGACAGGGGUGUUCAAGUUGGUAGAACAAGAAUGUCGUACGACAAUGCUUGUUGAUGAUAUGGAUAUCUCACGCCUUAUGGUGUUUGCACAACAAAUAGAAAAGUCAAAGCUCAAGAAGAUGAACAGGGAGGUAAAGAGGGCUAGAACCAUUGAAGGGAACUUUUCUAAUGUUAAGUAUAAGGGACAAGAUAGGCCUAGGACUAAACCAAGAUAUUCCGACCAAGAUUCUUCCAACACCUAUAGGUUUGACAAAGAGAAGGGUAGUGGGUCUCCAUUUCCCAAGUCUACUUGCUCCAACUGUGGGAGGAGUCAUUAUGGUAAGUUCCUAGCCGACAUGGAUGGUUGCUAUGGGUGUGGGAAGGAUUGGCAUAAAAUGAGAGAUUGCCCGGUUCUUAAGGCUAAGGGAAGGGAGGAUAAGAAAGUUGCCUCUAAUGAUCCGGAAGAGGGUACUCAAAAGAUGAAUAGGUUCUAUGCUCUCCAAUCUAGAGAAGAUCAAGAGUGAUCUCCUCAUGUCCCUUUCCGGUAUGUGUUUCAUGCUCUAGAAAAAAAUUCCAGAUUUCUUGUCUUUUGUGACUUGUUAAGUUUGAUUUUGAAGUUAUUUUUAGUAUGCAUGAUGUUUAGAAAAGUUUUGUAGGCUUACUCCCAAGUGGGGGAUAGUGUUCCUAUCUAGUACGGUUAUGGUGUGCCUUGUGUGUUGCCAUGAUUUCCUUAUAUGCAUGAUCAUGAAAUUGCUUAGGUCUUGUUAGAAAUGAAUUUUAUGCAUUGUUCCUUCAUGUUGUUGUGCAUGUGAGUAGACUUGCAUAUAGACUUCAUGAGUUGAGUAUGAGCAUGCCCUAGUUUUGGAGUUGAAAGAUGCCUCGAGGAAUGAAUGCUUUUUGAGAAGCAGUUUGCAUUUUAGGCUCCAUGAGUUCAUGUUGAGCAUGUUUUAGUUAGGGGAUUUUAGUUCCUCCUUUUAAAAGAGUAGAAAUAGGGUUUGAUGCAUUUUUGGAUUGGUAGAAAUAGUCCUACUCCCUUGUGUUGCAUUGAAAUUGUUUGGAGUUGCAAUUGAAGUUUCUUGCUAGAUUAUGUGCAUUAGAUGUAACUCAUGCAUAAUGGGCUGCUAAGUUAGAUUUUUUACUUUAAGAUAAAUUUAAAGUUUCAUUCGAGGAUGAAUGUUCCCAAGUGGGGGAUAACGUAACACCCCGUAAAUUAGUUAGUUGAACUAGUGAGUUGAACUAGUGUGUUGUAGGGUCUUGUAGAGGAGUUUUGGAGUAUAGUAUGAGGGUUAAAAUCAAUAUAAAUGGUUUCUAUACAUAGAAUGACAUGUUUAGGGGUUAAACAUCCGGAUAACACUCCCCAAGGACAACCCAAGGGGUCCUUGAGGAGGACGCCAGAACAGUCCCCCAAAACUGUCAAAAAGUGUGACCUACGGUUGCUAACCACGCCCAGUAGAUCAAUCUAUGGCUCGUGGUCAUGGGCGUGGAUCAGGCAUGCACAGGCCUGCAAAAUAUGAGUCUCUGACCCAAACCACGAGACAAAACCACUGAUGGUAGAUCAAUAUACGGUCCGUUGAUGGUGAAGUCGUGAAUGCUGCCAAUUUUCUGCAUUUUAAUUCUAAGUUGGGUGUUUGGGAUUUGAUUAGUUAUUUAAUUAAGGGAAUAGGGGGUCGUUUAGGUAGUUAAAUAACCACCUAUAAAUAGUUAAUAGACCCCUAAACUAAUCACUUUAAGUCAUUCAUCUAAAGACCCCCAAAUUACUCUCAAGAAAUCCUCUCUCUACAAGAAGAAGAAGAAAGGAAGUUGGGGCAGUAACUUAGGGAGAUUUUGACCAUUGAUUCAAGCUUUGUUUGGGGAUUUGAUUGAAGGUAUGUGAAGCCUAUUCAUCCAUGUGUUCUUCCACCCAUGGAUCCCCCUUAUAAAUCCCCCAAUUGUGGAUCAAAAACCCUAUUCUAGCUAGGGUUGUUCUUACAUUGUGGGUAGGGCUUGGAUGUGAUUCCAAUCUAGUGGAUAGCAUCCAAUUCUGAUUGAAUUAUGUUUUAUUAAUGAUAAUGUGAUGAUUUCAUGUGUUUUCUAUGAUGAACCCUAAUCUAAGUUGAUGAAUUUGAUCUUUGUGGGUUUAUGCCAUUAUAGGCAAAAUUGGAGGUUCUAAAGUGAUCUUCCUAUUUCAAUGUCUUGAAUGCUAAUUGAUAAUAGUUAGGAUCAUCUAUUAAUGAAUUGAACUAGACUUGAUUCAAUAGGAAGGAUCUUGACUUAUAAAAUUAGAAUUGAACCUUUAUGAUCAAUUAAGACUAGAAUCACCUAGUAAUGAAGGAUGUGAUCAAAUUACCUUGAAAUCUAGGUAUAGAGAGGAGAUUAAGAAAGGAACCUUGAGAAUAUGGUUGUGAUCCUAAUAGCUAGGGAUUUAGGGUGAAGCUAAUGUUAUUACCUAAUGUUGCUAAGGCUUUGAGAGUAAAGUCUAAAAGAGAAUAAGAGUCUAAUAGGUUGGAUUGUGGUGAAAGGCCUAUACUCACCUAACCUGCCUUAUGAAUGCUUAAUUGAUGAAAGUGAUAGAAUUACUUGAACAUGGAUUGAUUUUCAAGGAGAUCCUUCCAUGAGAGAUUAGUGUUAAGCAAGGUUUAACAAGUAAACCUUGAGGUGUAUGCUUGGCCUCAAGUGGAUAUUGAUGAGGAGAUGGAGUGUCACACAAGAUAUGGACCGGACUCCAAGAAAAAUGGAGAGCCACACCUAGUUGAUGUGAGGACUAUGUAAGUUAAUGGGGGUACUCUUACAUAGUAGAGUGUGGGCUUUCCCAAAGUUAGGUCUCAUGGGAUGGGGGCCUUCACAUAGUUGAUUUAAGGUUCUUAGUAUCAAUCUCCAUAUCCUAUGAAUUAAGACAUGCUUGAGAAGCAUUUCAUAGUGUUCUAAAGCAUAAUUGAACUAAAACUUACCUAAUGAAGUACCUCAUAGUGUUCAAUUGUAUAAAUGGACUUAGACAUGCUUAGAUUAGUAUCUCAUAAGGUCCAUGCUAGUAAUGAACUUAGAUAUGCUUAAAGAAGUGACUCCUAAGUUUCAACUUUAUAAUGAACUAAGAUGUGCUUGAGAGAUAGUACAUCAUAGUGUUCUAAAGUAAAAAGAUGAACUAGGUUCAAAAUAAAGAAGUGUUAGCAUGAGGACCUAAAGGUAGUACUUAGCAUGUAUAGUAUUAUUGGGUGCUAUGCAUGCAUUGCACAAGUAUGACUUAGUGUUGGUUUUCUUUUUAAAAAUGGGGCAGCACAAAAAGAUUGAAAAUCUCUCUCAAUGGACUGAAAUGACUUUCAAUAGCUUUGAAUAAUUUUAUUAAGCAUUGAGGGGCUUUAAAUAGCCAACAUAAAACACAUAAUAUGCAUAAUUUAAAAUUUAAACAACCUAAAAUAUCUCAACAACAUAAACAAACUAACUAAAAUUCAAAAUUCAAAUUUAUUCAAACUAAAUAACUUAUUUUGCUAAAAGUUACUGCAUUAACUAAAAGCAAACUUCAACACUCCUCCUUUUCUUUAGUUACUGCAAUUGAAAACAAUGCCCCUCCUCAAUUUUUGCUUUGGUAGUUGAUGCUGGAUAUUUUUCAUUGUUUUUGAACUUACAAAAUUUCUUCUUUUCCUUUUUCUUCUUUUGAUGUUGCUCUUCAAAAACACAUGCGAUGACAUUGUCUUGUGUAGAAUUUUUUUUUGAAAGUUCUUUAAUCUGAACUUUUGUAUGAUUUGCAGAUAGAGGUUGUAAGGGUUUUUCUUCCAUCACAACCUCAGAUAUCACAUAUGUUUCAAAAUAUGGUUUUAUUCUCACAGACCAAAUUUAAUAGUUUUCGUCUGUAAAAAUUUGUGGGGCAUUCAAAGAGAGACUGUUACUUGCCAUUAUUUUUGUUAAAUAUUGAUUUAGAAAAGUCUUUGUGUUGAAAAAAACACAGCUUGAAAAGGUAGCCUUGAUAGGUUAAAAUGGGUAGCCCUGAUGGGUUAAAAAGGUAGCCUUUACGGGUUAAAAAUGUAUGGUAGUUCUUUAGAAGAUUUCACAGAUCCCUUAAGAUCAAUAAAGCUUUUGAUACCACGGUUGGUGUUUUUAAAAAAAGAUGGGGCAGCACAAAAAUGAUUGAAAAUGUCUCUCAAUGGAUUGAAAUGACUUUCAAUAGCUUUCAAUAAUUUUAUUAAGCAUCGGGGGGCUUUAAAUAGCCAACAUAAAACACAUAAUCUGCAUAAUUUAAAAUUUAAACAACCUAAAAUAUCUCAACAACAUAAACAAACUAACUAAAAUUCAAAAUUCAAAAUUUUUCAAACUAAAUAACUUAUAUUGCUAAAUGUUAUUGUAGUAACUAAAGGCAAACUUCAACACUUAGGGUCACUAAAGAGAAGUCUUGAGGUAGGAUUAGGCUAGAGUAGCCUUUCCUAGGUAUAAUUGACUAAAGGUGACAGAUUCCCUUAGUUAUGAGAGUUGAUCUAAUAAUGAGGCCAAAGUAGGGUGUAUAUGACUAGGCUGAUUUCAAGGCUAUGCUUAAUGUGAAGGGUAGUAUGGGAUGCCUUUCAUGCAUUGCACAAGUUGUCUUGAGGUUACAUAAAAGUAUGGUACCCUUAUGGCAUAGAGAAGCUUAGAGAGUUGACCAUGUAUAUAGCUUAAGGUUAAAACGACAUGAAGACCUAAGUCUUGAAUGUGAAGGUGGACUAUGCCCAAGAAUGACCAAAGAGGGGUACUUAGCUAGGAUGGUAGUAUGGGAUACUAUACGGGCAUUGCACAGGUAUACUUGGAGGUGGCUUGUGAAGUAGUUCUCUUGUAACAUGAAGGACUUCAGGUUGAAGUAUGUAACCAUGGAAGUCUAAGUAAAGAAUAGGCUAUGAACAUGAUGUAUCUCCUAUGCUCAUUAAAUAUAUCCUAUAUGAGUCGUGUUUAUAUGAUGCAUAUAUUGGAGAUCAUGCUAUGACUAUGAUGAUUAUAUUGUGAUUAUGUUAUUGUCUCUUAUGCUUAUGUUUUAUGUUGACUAACCAUUUGAGAUGCUCUUAUGAUGUUGUGUUAGCUUUCAUACUUCGUACGUUUUGUACUAACACAUAUUGCCUACAUUCUAACCAAAUGUAAGGUUGGAGGGUUAAGUUGCUUUGGAGGGUAAAGUUUCAAGGAUUUAGAAGAAUUGAAGAAUUGGUGAGUCCUCAUAGCUUCGAGGACGAACCCUUUAUUUCCUUAUGUCAUUUCUUUGUGCUUUUAGACUUUGUAUGGGCUGCGUCCCAAAGACUUUUAUUCAUGAGAUUAAAUAAAUGGUUUAAGACAAAAGUUCUAGUAAAUACUUCGGCCUGAUUUUAUGAAAUAAGACUUUGUAUUGUAAAAGUUUUCAAUUUUUCCGUAUUUUCUAUUAUCUUAUGUUAAGAAUGUUCUAAGGGCUUGUAUGCGACCCCGUCGGGGUCAACUACACCAUGUUACGAUUAAGGGGUGCUCUCAGGUCUUGACAUGAUGUGACCCUAUUUUGACACAAGUAUUGUAAUAGAUGGCUAAUUGAGACAAGUCUAGACAUCCUCUUUCUUUCUUAAAGAUUUUUGGACUUAAAUCCGUUUUUACUCUUAUUUUUCUAAUGCUUUAUGUUAUGAUAUGCGAAAUGGCUUACAUUGAGCGUAUUAGGGCUCUAUUUACCUUAUUACGUCUAGGGGGUACCUUUGGGUCGUGACAGAACCCAUGAGAAUUUAAUGAAAAGCUAACCAAUUUGAUUGAAUUGAAUUGGAGAAUUGAAGAAUCUUUGGGGACUCAAUGGGUGAAUGGAACUCAUUGGUGAACUUUUACAUUACUUGAUUGAAUCCCUAAGAAAUGAUGAACAAAGGAGAGUUGAACUUGAAGAACCCUAGCUUCUUGUUCCUUGAUGUAGAGAGAGUUUUUUGGGAGAACCUUCCAAGAAAUUUGGAAUUUGAGGGAAUGAAAGAGUUGGGAAAAUUUGCAAGGCUGAAGGGUAGUUAUAGAGCUUAGAAUAAGGUUAAAAAAUAUGUAGUAUAAGCAUUAAAUACAUAGGAAAAUACCUAAGUACCCUUUAAAAAUACCUGUGGAAUGGACCUACGGUUGUGACAUGCAAAUCAUACCAGUCAACCGUAGAACCAACAUCAGAAACCCAAAUAUUGAAUCAUUUCCCACCAGAUCUUUCUACGGUCUAUCAAACUUUCUACGGUUCGUAGACCCACACCAUAGAACCUAAGUUUAAUUUCAAAAAUUCACUAAGUUUGGAACCUUUCUAUGUAACCUCCUACAACCCAUAAAACAAAAGACGACUCGUCAAAACCAUCUGUGGAAUCGAGGUCUUAAAUAAAAUCUUUGAAUCAAUCUUUUGAGUGAACUGCACAUCUUCAACAGUUCGUCCUGUCAAGUCGUAGAUCAAUCUUCAGAAACUUCAUUUUCCAAAAGCUCAACUACAAAUCUAUUACUCCCGUCCUACAACCUAUAAAACUUUAUUCAUUCCAUAGGUUGGACUCAUAGAAACUUGCUUUAGUCCAUUUUCAUGCAUUUUCUUUCCUUUUGGACUUUCCAACUUCCAAGGUGUUACAAUAUCUCCCCCUUGGGAAUAUUCUUCCUCGAAUGGGACUCAGACUAGCAUGAAUACAGUAAGAGAGAAACUAACAACCCAACAUGAAUGCAAUUUUCAUCAAAAUGCAUAUAAACAUGGAGAAUCACUCAAAGCUAAAUCAUAAAAUUUAAAUCAAGAUUUUCAUGAACAUGCAUGCAUAUAGAAACAUGAGAAUGCCUAAAAUACAUGAAUUCAAAAGAAUAAAUCACGAGGAGCUAAUACCUCAAGCUAGAGUAGGAGCGAAGGAAAAGAGAUAAGGAUACAAGAAAUAAUAUCGGCUUUCCCAAGUGGCAUCCUCAACUAAUUAAUUCUUCCAAAGACUCUUUACUGAAGAAACUUCUUUGUUUCUCAAUUUUCGAACUUGUCAGUCCAAAAUCUCAAUAGGAACCUCUUCGUAAGAAAGAUACUCUUGAACUCCCACACCUUCCAAAGGCUCUAUAUAUGUGGGAUAUUCAACACACUUCUUCAAAAAUAGAAACAUGGAAUAUUACAUGUAUCGAUGCUAAGUCAUUUCGCAACUCAAGUUCAUAAGAAACCUUGUUAAUUUGCCUCAAAACCUGAUAUGGGCUCACAUAUCGGGGACUUAACUUCUCUUUCUUUCCAAACCUUAUGAAAACCUUCAUGGGUGAAAUGUUCAAGUGACCCAAUCGUCUACAUCAAACUAUAGUUAUAUUCUUCUAAUAUAAAAAAAAGACUUUUGUUGACUUUGAGCCGUCUUCAACCUUUGGAGAAUAAGUUGAACCUUUUCCUUAGCCUCAUGCACCAACUCGAACCCUAUCAAGGCAACCUCACCAACCUCAAAUCAACCAACAACAAACCUGCACCUCCUAACUUAGAGAGACUUAAACGAUGUUAUCCCAAUGCUAGAAUGAUAGAUAUUAAUGUAAUAAAAUUGAAUCAAAGGAAAAUGAUCAUCCCAAAUACUCUUUAAUUUAAUCACACCAACUCUUAACAUGUCCUCCAAAUUUUGAAUGGCACGUUCGACUUGCCCGUUUGUAUAAGGAUGAAAAUUUGUGCUAAGUUUCACUUGAGUACCAAGACCUUUCUGAAAUUACAUCCAAAAUAGAGAUGUAAUCUACGUACCACAAUUAGAGAUAAUGGAAAAAGGCACUCCAUGCAACCCUACCAUUUCCCUUAUAUAAAACUUGGUAACGGAUGAGAAUGAAGUCUUAAUGGGAAGAAAGUGAGCCAACUUCCUCAUUAGGUCCACAAUAACCCAAAUCAGCUCAAACUAUCGACGAGUUCAGGGUAAACCCGUAAUGAAGUUAAUAUUCAAAUUUUCCCACUUCCAUGGAGGAAUACUUAUGUCUUGAGCCAAACCACCCGAUUUUUAAUGCUCAACUUUUACUUGAUGACAAGUUUGACAUUUAGCCAUAAAUAUCGCAAUAUAUUUCUUCAUCUCAUUAAACCAAUAGACCUCCCGCAAAUCAUAUUACAUCUUGGGGGCUCCUCGGUGAAUAGAAAACUGAGAACUAUGGUCUUCUAUCAAAAAAUCGAUUCCUCAACUAAUGAACGUUCGAAACACAUAAGUGACCUUGGUAUCAAAGGACUCUAUCUCCCCUUUGGAGAAGGCUCAAUGGCGUUUUUGGAAACCAGCUUCUUCAGGUCAACCAAUACCGUAUCAAGAUCUUGCUUAGACUUGACAUAUGAUACAAAGAAUAUUCUUAACUGGUAUGAACAACUACAUCACAUUUAUUAGAAUCAACUGACCGAACGUCCGAUCAGUCCAACCUAUUAACAUCAUGAACUAAAUCAUUUUUAUUAUUCUCAACAUGAGUAACACUACCCACUGAUAACCGACUAAGAGCAUCUGCAACCAGAUUCGCCUUUUUGGAUUUAUGUAGAACACUCAUGUCGUAAUCCUCAACCAAUUCAAGCCCCCUUCCUUGGUGAAGAUCCAAAUCUUUUUGAGUGAAUGAUACUUCAAACUCUUCUGAUCUGUAAUCACAUCUACAUGAACAUCUUAUAAGUAGUUUCUCCUAAUAUUUAUAUCAAACACAACCGCUGCUAACUCCAAAUCAUGAGUAAGAUAAUUUUUUUCGUGUACUUUAAAUUGACUUGAUGCAUAAGUAAUGACUUUCCUAUGUUACAUUAAACACACAACAAAGACCAACCUGUAAAGAAUCACGAUAAACUAUAAAACUAUCUCGUCCUUCUCGUAGUGUCAAAAUAGAGUCCAAAGUGAGUCGAUCUUUCAACUCUUGGAAAAUCUACUCACAAGCUUCCAACCAUAUGAAUUUACUUUCUUUGGAGUCAAUCUUGUCAAAGGAAAAGCGAUAGAGGAAAAUCCUUCGAUGAACCAUCUAUAAUAACCAACCAAACCCAGGAAAAUUCGUAUAUCUAAAGUGGAAAAACGUUUGGGACAAUUCUCAACCAUCUCCGUUUUUUUAGGAUCAGCUUGAAUAUUGUUGUUCCCAAAUGCACAUGCAAGUGUAGGUGGUCGCGCAAGUAAUAUAGUAGAUCUAAAAAACAAGGAUUAUCAAACCUAAAGGACUUUUUGAUUAAUUAUUAUACUAAAUUAUACUAGUCUAAUAAUUUAUUCCGGCGUGCCAAAAGAGAUAAAUUUGUUAUUGAAUAUUAAGAAUUAAAAAUAAAUAAUUAAGUUGCUUAUAAUGAUUGGGGACAGUCCUGGGCUGCAACAUGCUUAAAUCUACUCUAGGAAAAUCUACUCACAAGCUUCCAACCAUAUGAAUUUACUUUCUUUGGAGUCAAUCUUGUCAAAGGAAAAGCGAUAGAGGAAAAUCCUUCGAUGAACCAUCUGUAAUAACCAACCAAACCCAGGAAAAUUCGUAUAUCUAAAGUGGAAAAACGUCUAGGAAAAUUCUCAACCAUCUCAGUUUUUUUAGGAUCAGCUUGAAUAUUGUUGUUCCUAAAUGCACAUGCAAGUGUAGGUGGUCGCGCAAGUAAUAUAGUGGAUCUAAAAAACAAGGAUUAUCAAACCUAAAGGACUUUUUGAUUAAUUAUUAUACUAAAUUAUACUAGUCUAAUAAUUUAUUCCGGCGUGCCAAAAGAGAUAAAUUUGUUAUUGAAUAUUAAGAAUUAAAAAAUAAAAUAAUUAAGUUGCUUAUAAUGAUUGGGGACAGUCCUGGGCUGCAACAUGCUUCAGGUUUCAUGUAUCGUAUAUCAUGAAUGAAUUAACUAUGGUUAUUAAAUUACUGAUUUAAAGGAUUGAUUUUAUGAUCAUGACCUCUUGACCUCAAAUAGCCUGCUCUAAUAGACUAUGUAACUACAUCGUAGAGAGAGAAUAUAUCGAACUCAAUUGGAGAACAUUUAUAAGCUCGGUGUUCGUCCUGUUUGCAAUCCUGACCACAAAUCUGAAUAAAUGAUAUGCAAGAGAGAUUGACCUCUUUGUAUUCACUAAUAUAUCUACCUCUCCGUCUCUCAAGUUCAAGAAUAGAAAAUAUAUUUAUCUCUAUAGUGAUCAAGUAUGAAAUACUAAAACAAGAAUACAAUAUCAAUUUAAGCAAUAACCAAUAUUAAUUCAAAACAAUUGAUGAUCAAUAAUUCCCAGUCGCUACAACCCCAGAACAAGGGUCUUUAGCUAAUAAUGUCUAAGGAAAAAAAAGAAACAAAGAACCCUAAAGAGUAUUGACAACUUUAUACUUUACUGAUCUCUUGAAAAAGAAGUUAUUUUCAAAAAAUAUCCCAAGGGUCCUAUUUAUAAGGUUAAGGAAAAAAUAAUAUCACUUCUAAUCCAAUUAACAAUCCUAAAUCAACUAAAAUUCACCGGGAAAGUCAGGAUUGGCUUGGGGCGUCGUGCCACCAUUGCGCCAGGAUUGCUGAGGCAGCAUGCCAGAAGUGCGCCUGAACUUGGCAUCACCUGUUUAGGCCCUGGCUCGGCGCGCCAAGACUGCUCUAGUUGUAUUUUUCUUUGCGCUUAUUUUCCCUUCGUUCUCGUCGCCUCCUAUCAAGCUUAUAUUCCUUUAGAAAUCCUUGUACAUUCUAAUCAUCUAGUUUAGUAUAUAUUUCAUGCAAUAUUCAAUCAAAACACAAUCAUUAUCAUCAUGAAUGACCUCGAAACACAAUCCCCUUUGCUUUCCGUUGGGGUGGUAUGUUUCUUCUUGAAACUUUAGUUCUAGCUAUGUCUGCAAAACAUCACGAAAAAGAUAGAAAACUUUCAGUUAAAAUCACAGAAAAAUAGUUGCAGACAGACUCGCUGAUCUACUCGACGAGUCGCCUAAUCGCUUUGCCAAGCUGGAUUGGGCUCACCGAAAGGAUUGGCUUUAAAUUUUGGCAAGUCGGCAUUGGGAAAUUCCUUUUGGCGAAUCGCCGACAGCUUUUGGCGUGCAAGGGUCAACCCGCCGAAAGUUAUAAUGCAAUAAAAGAUACAGGGGUGGAGACAAAGGGCAAUCAAGAAGACUUUCGAUGAGUCGCCGAGUGCCUUCAGUGACCUCAGGCUUUUCGCCGAAAGGUACAGAACCCAACAACACUUUAAGGAUGAAAUAAAAGGUGAGAUGGGGACUAGGCGAACCGCCGAGUGGUUCGCCGAGCUCGACCCAGCUCACCAAACGACCCCACGUGCCUAUUUUAAACCCAACAUCUCAAAUUCAACCCCGCAACCCCCAAAAUGAAAAUCAAAGCAUGCAUAACUCAAAUUAAGACUACAACCAUAGCACCCAUUACCCCGGGAUACUCAAAGUUCUCUCGGUUUCGCCAAAUUUGUCCAAUUGGCAACUUUUGCCUUUAAGAGAGACGUCACUCGCUUUAUCAUUGGGAAAAUUACGUCGUUUGGCGCAAUUAUGGGUUACUUAGAAGUCGCCCAACUAAAUCCCAUGACAUGCAAGUACAACCCCACAAAAUUUAAUUCACUUCAAAGCACAAGAAUACGAGAUUUCACAAUCAAAACAUUACGGGUAAGAUUAUCAAAUUAAAAUAGGCAUUCAAACAUUGUAAUCCUAUCAGAGAGGCUCAACACACCUCAACAAGAUAAGAUUAUUUUCAUAAGAGUAGCAAUUCGAUAAAACUAACUCCACGAUCAGAAAACCAACCUUUUAUGCCGAUUAAAACAAGAUUGUAAUGUUAGGCGGCAAAGUAUUCCCAAUUCGAGCAUAAAUCAACGACCACAAAUAUAGUAAUAAAGCAAGCAAUAUAAAAAAUACUAAGCGGGUGUGAGUGUGUGAAAGUCGAAAGUGACGGAUUGUGAAAAGUUUGAAAUUUUAAACCUUUGGUCUUUUAAAAAAACCGUCCUAUUCUCACCCAUUCGGUGACAUUAGUCGAGCUCGCCGAACCACUCGGUAACAUGACAAAUGAUCACUUACCUCACCGAGUUUUAUAAGACCUCCAGUUAAACUGGGGGUCCCAACGGCGGACUAGAUCGAGAUCGCCCACCAAGUCAGCGAUUCGCCAUUAAUUUCCCGGGCUCGCCGAGUUUUACAGACUCCACUUUGUAGUUGUCUUGAGUCCAACGGCAGUCAAAGUCGAGGUCGCCAACCUCUUCGGCGAUUCACCGACUGGACCUUUAGUUCACCAACCUGCAUUUCUCCACCACUUUCCACACUGUGUACAACACAUUCAACAUACCAUUAUUUCUAAGUAAAAAAUAAAGCGAUAAACACUUGGGUUGCCUCCGAAGAAGCGCCUUAGUUAUAGUCGUGGCACGACAUCCCCACUUAGUCUUGACUAGUUGGGUACAGACGAGACAAUAUAUGACCCAUUUGGGUCUCUUGUAGCUAAAAAAAUAUGGAAUGGGAAGCAGUUAUCUCAUUCAUCAGUGAGACAUUCUCUUUAAUCUCAUUCAACACCUUGUCGUGACUUUCGACUGUGUGGAGAAUGAGUGAGAGUAUCUCCUUUAUUUUUCCACCCUCGUUCACAUUUGGCUUUAUACGAUUGUAAGGGGUAUGUAAUAGUCUUUCUUUGUAUCAGGUGCUUCCAAUUCCAUGAUCAUCUUCACUACUAGAUCCAGGUGGGUCAAUAGUGUUGCCAAAAUAUGGUCCUUUUUAGUCUUCUUGUUGAUCAUGGCCAUGUUGUCAAGGAGCUGGGCUGCUAUUGCAUAGGGUAGUCGUGAGAGACCCACCGGAAACAUUUGGUCAGCCAUUUUUCUAUUUUCUAUGCCAGGACUUUUGUAGAAGCAGUCCAAUAGAACGUUAUCUGAGAUUCCAUGAGCUGGGCACUGCAGGAAGAGUGACUUAAAUCUCAGCCACAACUCAUGGAUUGACUCACCCUGCAGUUGUCUAAAACUUAGGAUGUUAUCCCUAAGAAACAUCAUCCUCAAAGGAAAGAGGUCCAUUUGGUCACCGUUGCUAUCAGACAUGCACUAAUUUCCUACUCUAAAAAGCAACACAAAAACCAAAACAAAAAUUUAAAUAAGUACAACUAUAACUAACAAGAGAGAAGUUCAACUUAACUAAAAAUUCUCAAGUGACACCACUCCCCGACAGCAGUGCCAUUUUGAUUGACGUAUCCGAACUCUUCAUCCAAUACUAAGGAUCCAUGAUCGUUCAAUAGUAAUAUAACCCAACUAGUGAGUUGGGGUCAAGUCCCAAGGGAAUCAUAGCUAAAAGCAUUUACGAAGAAAAAACAAGAAUUUGGUCAAGUCAAACAUAGCUAAAAGCAUUUAUGAAGAAAAACAUAUCAAAUUAGGGGUAACACAGGUGUCAAUUAUCGAAGGGGGUUUUGUAAUCAAUUAUCAACUAAAAUGACAACUAAACAUGAAAAUAAGAAUAUGUAGACGAGAUUCUUGGGAUGUGAUCGGAUUAUGGGCCAAGGUAAAUAACCGGGUAAAUGCAAUUAAUAGUAAAUCGCUGUAAAUUAGUGAAUAAACUAGACCUUAAUAGGGAUAAAUUUCCUCUCAAACAAUUUACCCCGAAUCAAAUUGGUUUCUCUCAAUAACAAUAAGCAGCAAUGAAGCAUAACCUUCGCUUUUGUCCAUUCACUCUCUCGAGCUGAAUGUGUGGGAAAGGGUUUAGGAUUCCCUCUUUCGAGUUGAACCUAUGACAACCCAAUAACCAAAGACCAUCGAUUCAGUAGUUUUGGAUUUAAAACAUCUCUCUCGAGCAAGCAAAAAACACGAAGUUAGGAUUGUAUUUGCAACUACAACCCAUUAAAUUAAACCACAACUACUGAACGAAAUCACUUUUAAAUAGCGAAUAAACUAUCAAUUAGCAGUACCCAGAAGUUAAUUCAAUCCAUAAUAACAUAAUCACACCCCAAGAAUUGGGGUUUUAGCUAGACCUACUAAAAAGAUAGAAAUCGACACCGAAAUGUGUUUCUAUCAACUGGGUACGAUUAAUAUUGUCUUUACAAACGUCUAAGAUGAAGAAUCUUCAACACCCACUUCCAAUUUCUUAGAAAUGGAUAUCUUCAAAGCUAAGGAAAAAUGUCUCAAAAACUGAGUUCUAUGUUCUCAAACUGAAUAAUAAUAAAAUCUGAUGAUAAAAAUUUGAUUUUCUCAACCAAAAUCUCACAAUAAACUGUGAUGCGAAGGACCAGUCAGUGCAUUAAGUCGGGAUCACCGAUCCACUCAGUAAUCAGCCCUUUGGUCAUUUGUAUCGCUGUUUUGCUUUUGCUUUCAGCAUACGUGAGGUUCUGUAACUUUGGGCGAUAAGGCACUGUAUCGCGAAACCAUUCGCUGACUCGCCAUCUAAUCCUUUAUCUCGCUAACUAGAUUUUCACCUUCAGGGAUUGGCACUCUGGAACAUUAGGCGAGACCGUCAUUGUUCGGCGACUCACCUAAUGGGUUAGGGGAUCCUCAGACCAUUUUUUCUUCGUUCUUUCAACUACUUUGGUCCUUUUUGCCCAAUAGUGUCUAUGCUUUGUCCCUCAAUUCAAAUACCUGAAAUUCAAGGAUUUACAUCCGUUAUUGAGACAAAAUAUGCAUUCAAGGACACUAAAUCUAUUAAAAUAAAUCCCUAAAUGAGUCCAAAUUGUGGGCUCAUCAACACCCCCAACUUAAACUUUUGCUUGUCCUCAAGUAAAACUUAAGUUCAGCAGUUCAAAAAGGAUGUCUCAAAUAGUGCUACACAAGACUAAAUCAUGAAUACGAACAAGAAGACUCAACUUAUUCAUGCAUGGAGUAAUUGUCCAAAUCAUGGACUCAUCAACACCCCCAACUUAAACUUUUGCUUGUCCUCAAGUAAAACUUAAGUUCAGCAGUUCAAAAAGGAUGUCUCAAAUAGUGCUACACAAGACUAAAUCAUGAAUACGAACAAGAAGACUCAACUUAUUCAUGCAUGGAGUAAUUGUACACUCAAAUACUGAAGUUGUGACUCACCAUUACCAAAGAAGUUCAAGUUCACUAAACUUGCUUCAUAUGCAAGUUCAAGCUCAACAAAAGGGAUUAAAUUCCCAUCACACAAGGAAUGAUUCCAUAUGCACACACAAUGGUUCAACAAUUAAAAGUUCCGGAAUAAAAUGCAAUACUCAAACUCACAAAGAUGAACACAAUGUAUGAUUUUAACCUAUAGGUUUGCCCUUAUUUUCCAAUCGACUAUUGUUUCAGCUCAUUCAAGAUCAAAAAGGUCUUUUCAAGGCUUGUUAUGGUGUUGAGUGCAAAUGUAUGGUCAUUUAGGCUCAUAGGUUAUAAUCCUCAUGAAAUGUGAUGUGAACCACACCUUCAUUCCUUUACUUCAUCAUUCUCAUUUGUGCUCAAAAGUCACCUCUUCAUUCAUCUUCGAUGAAUUAUUGGGAUACCCCAUUUUCUUUGCAUUCUCACACCUUAUUUCAUACUUUUUCUCUCUCUUUGUUUUUCAGUCUUUUCUUCUUGUUCUCUUUUUUUUCUAUGGAGGGGUUCCAUUUUUUCUCAAAACAAUGGAAAAAGGGACUUCAUUGCAUUUUCUUGAUUCACCUUUUCUCUUCACCACACCCCCAUCUUAGGCUUUUGGCCUAAGUUUGCUAUUCAAACAGGCCACAAAUCAUGAGGAUUAUGGGUAAUGGAUCAAAGAAGGUUAUAUUUUCAUCAUGUUUCUUCCAAGAAAAGGUUAAGGUUCAAAGGGUGUUCAAAAGAGGUUCACAUACUCACAAGGUAGGCCACAAAAAGAGGUAUAAUGUCAAAUUGGUUCUCACUAUUUAAAGUUGCCUAAGAUCAUCUCAAGAAAUUGCCUUUACUCAGUUUACCUGACUAACAUGGUAAAUUGUAGGUUUCAUCAUACAUGGUUCACAGAAAGCUCAUCGCACACGGCAUCGACACCAAUGUCAAAACAAGACUCCACACGUUCGUUAGUGUGCAAUGCUCAUCACAUGAUACUCAAUCUAGUACCUGGCUAGUCACAACGAGACACAAAAAAUUCACAUAUUUACUAUACAACUUCAUCUUGCCUCAUCAUAGCCAAACAUUCAUGUUUGUUCGAUUAUAAGCACUAUUCAAGUCAUCGGUAUUGAUCAAAACUGAUACUUAAAUUUGCAAAAGAACAGCCACAUUCAACACAAACAAGAGGUGGCAAGUUUUUUCGAAAGGGUCAAAAAUCAUUGACAGUUGUAAACACGAAGCUACAAGCUCAAACAUUCCACAAAAAAGAGUGUAAACAAGAAUUAUACCUCAAAACCCACAUAUAUAACCAAAACAUCAAUAUUCACAAAAAGAAUCACACAAAAGGUGGGCCUCACCCAAGCACAAAUAAAAUCAUUUGUCCACAAAUGCAAACAAAAUAAAAUAUCCAUAAAUCUAAGUAAAGAAAGACAGAGAGGGAGGUAAAGAGGGGAUCCUGUCUAAACAGUCGCUCCAUCUAUCUAGGCAUCAGUACUCGUAGUGGCCUCAAAAGGAAUAAUAGCAACACUAGGAGCCGCCAAGGGUGUAUCUACUAAGGAAGCCUGCACAACAACAUUUACCAUGGCCUCUUCGGUCUCAGUCAGGACCUCAUAUGCAGCUUCCUCAGUUGCCUCAAGCAGCUCUUCAUUAGUCUCUACCUCAAACUCGGGAUUAACUGUCUGCUCAAUCUAACCUCAUCUCCGGUGGUAGCCGAAGGAAUCUCUAGAUCAUCUAGGAUCUCCACCAUCCCGAAGAUCAUGGAAUAUCAGUGGACUUUAGCUGAUCCACAUCGCUCCGCAACACAGCUUUAGCGGCCUUGAAGGCUGUGACCUAAUCGGUGGCCCCUUGGCCACGUUCACACACCGCUAUCCUUGCAACAAGGGCAUCAAUUGCAGUGCUCAAUAAUGUCACAGCAUCAACUAGGGAAGUCUGAAUCAUGCCCUGAAUGGAGGUCUCGAGUAUGGCAGCCCGACGAUCAGCAAAAUGGGCAAGCUGCCCUAUCCGGAGUAAUGAAGCUUGGGUGAUCAGAGCCCGAGAGACAGCAGCAGCAUCUCUAGGAGGCACUGCAACAGUAGAAGAACUAGGAACAUCAUAAGAAGUAGAAGUAGAGGUACCUGAAGGCCCAUGGGUCGAAGUAGGCAAAGAUAUCUCUGCAGGUAAUGAGUGUGUGUCUAUAAUAGGGAAAAAAUCAACUGGGGCUGCCUUCUUCUUCUUCUCAGUUUGGUCCUUCAAAUAUUCUACCUCGAUCCUCCGAAUAUCAGUAGAGGAUGUGAAAAUCACUUCCACAUCCUUCUUAGAAUCUCUGGGUAACUGGGCUCGUCUGCACAACUCGGUGAUAAAGAUCAAGAAAAGAAAAGAGAUUUGCCGCUGCAUGGCCCACAUGAGGAUUUCUUUUGCGAUGAUCAUCCUCAAAUUUAGCCUUGACCUAUUAAUAAGGCAGCCCAUACAAGAUGCUUUGGCAUGGCGGAGAAUAGACUUGUUUUGGGAGGGUAUGAAUGUGCUGCUGAUGAAAACAAACCAUUACCUCGCUACCACAUUGUGUUCCUUCUUUUCAAUCGAUGCCCAAAAUUCAAGCCACUUAGGAGUCCCAUCUAAUAUCAUAGGAGCUAAGCACUUCUUCAUGUUUGCUAGAGUCGUGGUCUUGAUCUUGUGGUGAUAGUCAUCCUCCAGUCUCAUAGUACAUUCUAAUACUGCAUUGAUGGCAGUACAAUCACAUUGUAUUUUCUUACCCUUGACAACUACGUAGUUAACCGGCUUGAAUUUAACUAUCGGUUUCUUCCCUUGUGGUAUCAAUGUGUUUUAGGUAUUGUAGAACUCUCGGACCCAAGUUGGGAUGUAUGGGCCAUGGGGCUUGGUGAAGAGUUGGAAUUUAUAAGACUUCAAACAUCUUAUAAUCUCUAGGUACAUGUCGAUCACCCCAUCAGUGGACAGAUGCUUUUCCUCUAUAAUUGUCCUCAGUCCCUCAGUCUUUAAUCUAUUAGUCGACUUGGGAGGAAGACCCUGUACUGGUGGUACAAGCACCACUGCUUCCUCUUGAACUGGAGGAGGAGUGGUAGCUUGAGGAGCCUGGAUCCUAGAUGGAUCAUUCAACCUUUCAGAUCAUCACUUUGUCCUCUGCGCUGUUACAAACUCAUCAUCAUAAAAAUCUACAGACUGGUGCUCCUGAUGCUUACCCUCACUUUCAGAAGUAGUGAGGUGUGUUGCAUGGAUGCCGUCACUGUCGGAGCUGACCUCCGGUGACGCGGGUGCCUCCUCUUUACCUUUGCCUUUCUCACCAGUUGUGGGAAGUUUUGUGGCCUUGCCCCUAGAUGCAGCUACAUACUCGUUGAGUGCAAUCCCCUUUGCUUUCUAUCAGGGUGGCAUGUUUCUUCCUGUUACUUUAGGUCUGGCCAUGUCUGCAAAAUAUCGGGAAAAACUUAGAAAAUUUUAAGUUAAAAUCACAGAAACACAGUUGCAGACAGACUCGCUGAUCCACUCGGCAAGUCACCUAAUUGCUUUGGCGAGCUGGAUAAGGCUCGCCGAAAGAAUUGGCUUUAAAAAUUUGGCAAGUCAGUGAUGGGAAAUGCCUUUUGGCGAAUCACCAACAAAUUUAUGCAUGCAAGGGUCAUCCAGCUGAGAGUUAUAGUGCAAUAAAAGCUAUUGGGAUGCAGACAAAGGGCGAUCAAGAAGACUUUUGGCGAGUCGCCGAUUACCGUUGGUGACCUCAGGCUUCUCGCCGAAAAUUACAGAACUCAACUACAUAUUAAGCAUGAAAAUAAAGGCAAGAUAAGGAGUUUAGGCGAACCAUCGAGUGGUUCGACAAGCUCGACUCACCUAGUCAAUCCCAGCUCGCCAAACGACCCCACAUGCCUAUUUUCAACCCAACUUCUCGAAUUCAACCCCACAACCCCCGAAAACAAAAUCAAAGCAUGCACAACUCAAAUUAAGACUAGACUCAUAAAACCCAUUACCCCGGGAUACUCAUACUUCUCCCAAUUUUAUCAAAUUUGACCAAUUGACGACUUUUUCCCUUAAGACGGACGUCACCUGCUCUAUCAUUAGGAAAAUUACGUCGUUUUAUGCAAAUAUGGGUUACUUAGACUUAAUAUAACUAUAUCCAAUGACAUGCAAGCACAACCCCACAAAAUUUAAUUCAUUUCAAGGCACACGAAUACAGGAUUUCACAUCAAAACAUUACAGGCAAGAUUAUCAAAUUAAAAUAGGCAUUCAAACAUUUUAAUCCUAUUAGAGUGGCCCAUCUUACUUCGACAAGACAAUAAUGUUGCAAAUGAGUACAAAUUUGAUUAAAAUAACUCGGGGUUCGGAAAACCAACCUUUUAUGCCGCUAAAAACAAGAUUGAAAUGCUUGGCGGCAAUGUAAUCCAAAUCAGAGCACUAAUCAACAACUCAAAUACAGUAAUAAAUCAAGAAAUAUAUAAAAUACUAAGCAGGUGUGAGUUUGUGAAAGUCGAAACUGAGGAAAGUGGAGUGUUUGAAAAUUUAAACCUCUGGUUUUAAAAAAACCAUCCAGGUCUCGCCCAUUCGGCGACAUUAGUCGUGCUCACUGAACCACUCGGUGUCACGCCGAGUGAUCACUUACCUCACCGAGUUUUAUAGGACCUCCAGUUAAACUAGGGGUCCAAACGGCUGACUAGAACAAGAUCGCCGACCAGGUCGGCGAUUCACCAAUAAUUUCUUGGGCUCGCUGAGUUUUACAAACUCCACUUUGAAAUUGUCUUUAGUCCAAAAGCAGUCAAGGUCGAGGUCGCCGACCUCUUCGGCCAGUCGCUGACUAGACCUUUAGCUCGCCAAUAUACAUUUUUAAAACACUUUUCACACUUUGUCCUGCACAUUCAACACACCAUUAUUUCUAAACCAAAAAAUAAACCAAUAAAACCUUAGGUUGCCUCCCAAGAAGCGCCUUAUUUAAUGUCGUGGCAUGACGCAAGUCCUUACUCAAUCCUCAUUCUUCGGGUUAGCCGUAGUAUCACUACGAAAACCCUCCUUAGACUGUCAGUAAAUACAUGACAUCACUUGGUCUUUUUGGGCGUCUUGCAGUUGAAUAAUCAUGGAACAAGAGGUUAUCAUCUGAUUAAUCAUUAGGACAUUCUCUUUCAGUUCAUUCAACACUCUAUCUUGUUCCUCAAUUUUGUGUCGAAUAAGUGAGAGAGCCUCUUGAUUCUGUUCACUCUCCUGUUGCUUCCCCUUUUGACACUCGUGUUGGAGAAGGCACUUGUCCUUCUUUUUGGACUUUGCCUCUCACUCCAUAACUUUCCUGGAAAAGACAUCCAGUUGUGUCAACAAUGUUGCCCAAUCUCGGUCUUUCUCUGUUUCCUUGUUGGUUUUAACCACGACAUCAAGGAGAGGGCUACUUCUUCAUAAGGUUGUUGUAUCUGCAAAAAGUGCAUCAUCAGCGCUUCUAUUUUCCGGACCAAGACCUCUAUAGAAGCACUCCAGUAGCAAUUUAUCUGGCAUUCCAUGAGUUUGCCCCUGUUGCAGUAUUGCUUUAAAUCUCGGCCACAUCUCAUGGAUUGUCUCAUAUCCCAAUUGCUUGAACAAUAGGAGGUUAUCCCUAAGAUUCAACACUCUGAAAAGAGGAUGGUCCAUUUGGUAACUACUGUCACCAUUCACACUCAUUCUUCAUGUUUUAACACACAAACAAGCAAAACAAAACUGAAACUUAAGUAUCCUUACAAUUAACAAGAGCAAAAUUCAACUUAACUAAAAAUUCUCAAAUAACACCACUCCCCAACUGCAACACCAUUUUGAUUGAUGUAUCCGAACGCUUCAUCCAAUACUAAACAUCCACGAUCGUUCAAUAGUAAUAUAACCCAACUAGUGAGUUGGGGUCGAGUCCCAAAGGAGUGCCUUGCAAUCGAGAAUCGAGGGAAACACAAGAAUUUGCUCAAGUCAAUCAUAGCUAAAAACAUUUACGAAGAAAAACAUAUCAAAUUAGGGGUGACAUAAGUGUCAAUUAUCAAAGGUUUUUUUUUAAUCAAUUAUCAACUAAAAUGACAACUAAACACAAAAAUACGAAUAUGGAGAUGAGAUUCUUGGGAUGUGAUCGGAUUAUGGGCUAAGGUAAACAAUCGGGUACUUGAAAUUAAUAGUAAAUCGUUCUAAAUUAGUGAAUAAGCUAGACUUUAGUGGGGAUAAAUUUUCUCUCGAACAAUUUACCCCUAAUCAAAUUGGUUUCUCUCGAACACCAAUAACAAGCAAUGACGCACAACAUUCUCUUUAGUCCAUUCACCCUCUCGAGUUGAAUGUGUGGGAAAGGGUUUAGGAUUCACUCUCUCGAGAUGAACCCAUGACAACCCAGUAAUCGCAGACCAUCGAUUCAGUAGUUUUGGUUUUAAACCUCUCUCUCGAGCAAGCCAAAAACACAAAGUUAAGAUUGUAUUUGCAGCUACAACCCAUUAAAUUCAACUACAACUACUAAAUAAAAUUACUUUUAAAUAGCGUAUAAAGUAUCAAUUAGCAAUACCCAACAAUUAAUUCAACCCAUAAUCACAUAAUCACACCCCAAGAAUUAGGGUUUUAGCUAGACAUAGUAAAAAGAUAGAAAUCGAUACUGAAAUGUGUUUCCAUCAACUGGGUACGAUUAAUAUUGUCUUUACAAACGUCUAAGAUGAAGAAUAUUCAACACCCACUUCCAAUUUAUUAGAAAUGGAAAUCUUCAAAUCUUCAAAUCUCCAAAACUGAGUUCUAUGUUCUCAAACUAAAUAAUAAUAAAAUCUGAAGAUAACAAUUCGAUUUUCUAAAUUAAAAUCUCAUAAUAAACUAAAAAUUGAAACUAGUAUUUAUAGUUGUCAAAAAUAGUGCAUCGAAGGACCAGUCGGCGCAGUAUGUCGGGAUCGCCGAUCCACUCGACGAUCCUCCAUUUGGUAAUUUGUAUCACUAUUUUGCUCUUGCCUUCAGCAUCCUUGAGGUUCUGUAACUUUGGGUGAUAAGGCACUGCAUUGCGGAACCGUUCGACGACUCGCUGACUGCUCCUUUAUCUCGCCAACUAGAUUUUCUCCUGAAGGGCUUGGCACUCUGAAACAUUAGGCAAGACCCUAGCCGUUUGGCGACUAGCGUAAUGGGUUAAGCGAUCCUCAGGUCGUCUUUUCUUCAUUCUUUUAGCUGCCUUGUUACUUUUUGCCCAAUAGUGUCCAUGAUUUGUCCCUAAAUCCAAAUACCAGAAAUUCAAGGAUUUACAUAAGUAAUUGAGACAAAAUAUGCAUUCGAGGACACUAAAUCUAUUAAAAUAAAGCCCUAAAUGAGUCCAAUUUGUGGACUCAUCAAGGGUCCUCUUCAAGGACCCUUGGUUGGUCCUUGGGGAGUCGUACCUUGAUGUUUAACCCCUCAGCCUAAGCUCGGGAACUCAUUUUACAACAUCAAACCCCAUAACAAUGUCAACAACACACUCGUAAGGCUCUAGUUUUACCUGCUAGUUUUACUAGUCGUUAUAUUAUCUCCCCCUUUGGAACAUUCAUCCUCGAAAGACAUUUUAAACACUUUACGAAAUUAAAAACUCAAGACUAGCAUCCCAUCAUGCAUGAAACAUCAUAAGCAGGAGUAUAACUAGGUGGAAACAUCAACAUCAUCUCAAACAUACUCAAUGCAACAAAAGGAAGUAGGAACUACAUCUACAGACCCAUUAUGCAUGAAAACUUCAACAUUUCUCCUUUCAUUGAAGGAAUUACCCUCUCCAACUUUAUUCAUGCUCAUCAUAUCAUCAUGAAGCAAUUAUGAAAUUAUUCUCAAAAUCACAUUUUAGCAUGUUCAACAAUUCAUCUCAUGCAGUAUGUAGGCAACUCAUACUAAAUGCACAUCAACACAUGACUCCAAAACAUGAAACAAGCUACAAGGAACUCUUGGUCUCAAGCUUGAAUAGAAAUAGAAAGAAAGAGAUAAGGAUAUUAGAACUCUCAAAAACCUUAAUAUUCAACAUACCAUCUCCCCUUUGGGAGUAAACCCAUACUAAGGCUAACAUGAAAAUAGCAUAGGGACCUCUAUAAAACAUUCACAACCAUAAGGAACUAUCACAUACUGUUACUAUCAUCCGGAAGAGUUUCUUUCUCCUCUCUAGACCGGAGUGCAUAGAAAUGACAAUGCAUUGGACCGUUAGUAUCCGGGCCACUAUUAGAAGCUAGCUUGGCCUCUCUUCCUUAGGUCAUAUCACUCUUCCCAUAAUGCUUUUUUCCACAAUUGGUGCAAGUAGGUUUAGGAAAUGCAGACCCACUACCUUUCUCUUUGUUAACCCUAGGAGUGCUUGAAGAAUCUUAGUUAGAAUCUCUCUUUUUGAACCUUUGUUGACCUUGCUCAUCAGACCUAGCUCGCUUCAUCUCCCUAUUUUUUUUCUUAAUUUUGGACUCCUCAAUUUGUUGAGCAAACACCAAAAGGCUAGAGAUAUUACUGUCAGCAUGGAGCAUUGCCGUACGACAGUCUUCCUCAACUAGGUCGGACACAUCUAUCACGAAUCUACUCAUGUCAUCCUUCGGGUUAGACACCAAAGAUGGAGCAUACUUAGAAAAUAAGGUAAAUUUCAAGGAAUACUCUUGCACACUCAUUCUACCUUGCCUAAGGUUGAUAUAUUCCUCCAUCUUAACCUCCAUCUUCUCAAGGGGAAAGAACCUAUCAAGGAGUGCUUUCUUAAACACCGCCCAAUCUAUGGGACCCGCUCCUACUGGCCUAUUGUUCUUCCAUUGGGUAAACCAAACUUGGGCAACAUCCUUCAAUUGGUAAGCGGCUAGUUAUUCUUUUUCUAUAGAAGUUACCACCAUAGCAUUAACUACCGUACACAUCUCAUCCACAAACUCUUGGGGAUUAUCUCCCACCUUGGAACCAAGAAACACCGGAGGAUUCAUCCACAAAAAUCCCCUCAACCUAGAAGCCAUAGUGCUCACAUUAGGGUUCACAUGAGUCUCAACACCCCUAGUGGCUUGAGCCGUCAUACCUUAGGCUUGAGUAGAUACAUCUUGAGACAUCAUUAGUAAAGCCUACCUAACUUCCCCAUCCGUCAUGGUCGGAGGAUCAAGCGGAACUUGAUUGCCCUGAGGAACUUGGUUACCUUGAGGAACUUCGCGAGGAACUCCUUCAUUCACAAUCUCCUCUUCCAUCAUUCUUGAGUUCGCCCUUCUUUUAUUCAUAUCCUAUAAACACGAGAGAAGGGUUAGGAAAAGGACUUUUAUAGAGCUAAACUCUAUGGCACUACUUAAAGAGUAAUGAAAGAAGUGUAGUUUGCUAACGUCUUAUAUCCUCUUAUUCAUAAAUGUGUCUCCUUUCACACAAUGAACAAGACUCUAUUAGACGUGGCUUUUGAGACAUCAAUCCUAAAAACUAUCCCAAAAUCUUAUGCUCUGAUACCAUAUUUAUCAUGAUCCGAGCCUACAACCUGGACGUGAAACUGCGUACAAGAUUCCGAAAAGCCUCAUACAACCCUCAUAGCAUGUCAUCACAUAGGGUAAUAGAAAAUGGUGCGGAAUUUGAAAAUCUUUUAACACAUACAAUCGGAAAACUUUAUUUAAAAUAGCGGAAGUCUACUUGUCUCACAUGGCUAUCUGAUAGAUUUGAAUCAAAAAUAGUGUCACUGCCCUUACAAUAGAAAGUCUAAAAAGUGUCUAGUACAAUGAAUGAAAUUAAAAGACAAUAAAACAUUUGUCCUCGGAUCCAUGAGGACAUACCACAAGCUUGAUGAAUAGUCAACCAAAGCUUGAACUAGAAGAAAUCGCCUUAAACGCCGGAACCUACACUUAUAGUAAAAUGUAGAAAUAUGGGUUAGCACACAAAAAUGUACUAAGUAUGAUAGCCAUGCAAAAACCAUGCUUAAAAAGGACAUUUUGUUGAAAACCAUGUUAUAUGCUAAUUUUGAGAAACGUCAUGAACUUUAGUAUAAAAGGAGUAAGAUAGAAACAUAAUCAACGUAUAAGCCAUGACAUCACAUUAGAACCAUCACCUUAAGUAACCCUAAGCUAUACUUGUUCAAUGUAAGAAUGUCAUCCCAUACUACCAUUCAUACUAAUUACCACUUUGAGGCCACCUUAUAUGACUUACCAUUCUUCAUACUCAUCUUUAGUCAAUACACAUGCAUAAGGAACAUUCAUAUUUAGAAGUCACGAAAAAGAAA